rnacentral:misc_RNA from 1 species
UUGGUCGUGCUCGCCCUGCUCGUCGGUCGUGCUCGCCCUGCUCGCCUCUGCGCCCUGCGGUCGAUUGGGGAUCUCGUCGCCUCGUCGGUCGUGCUCGGACUGCUCGCCUCUGCGCCCUGCUCGUCGGUCGUGCUCGCCCUGCUCGUCAGUCGUGCUCGGCUGCUCGCCUCUGCGCCCUGCGGUCGAUUGGGGAUCUCGUGCUCGGCUGCUCGCCCUGCUCGUCGCCUCGUCGGUCGUGCUCGGAGUCUCGGACUGCUCGCCUCUGCACCCUGCUCGUCGGUCGUGCUCGCCCUGCUCGUCAGUCGUCUCUGGUGCUCCGGCUUUGAAAGGUCCGUCUCUACUCUCUACUCAUUUACUGUCGUUAGCUUAAUUCUGUCGUUGUCUGUUUAA